UAGGGAAUCUUCCGCAAUGGACGAAAGUCUGACGGAGCAACGCCGCGUGAGUGAUGAAGGUUUUCGGAUCGUAAAGCUCUGUUGCCAGGGAAGAACGCUUAGUAGAGUAACUGCUAUUAAGGUGACGGUACCUGAGAAGAAAGCCCCGGCUAACUACGUGCCAGCAGCCGCGGUAAUACGUAGGGGGCAAGCGUUGUCCGGAAUUAUUGGGCGUAAAGCGCGCGCAGGCGGUUUUUUAAGUCUGAUGUUUAAGCCCGUGGCUCAACCACGGAUCGCAUUGGAAACUGGGAGACUUGAGUGUAGGAGAGGAAAGUGGAAUUCCACGUGUAGCGGUGAAAUGCGUAGAGAUGUGGAGGAACACCAGUGGCGAAGGCGACUUUCUGGCCUAUAACUGACGCUG
rnacentral:rRNA from 1 species